rnacentral:lncRNA from 1 species
CUGUGUGUGUGAGUCGAAAUCAGAGGGGACGGCAGCCGCGGUGGCUGCCGGCGGUCGACGGUCGGCGACGGAGCCGAGGUGGUCUCCGAUCUGCCAAAGAGAAAAAAAGAGAUGAGUAUUUCAGAUUUUUAAUUUAGAAAAUGAAAAAAAGGGGGAAAAUAGAAAAAGAAGAAAUUAGGGCUUACCUUAGGCUACCCGUCGAUCCAGAGAGAGAGGCGAGAGAGCCGAGGGUGGCGCGGCCUAUCGCCGCUGCUCCUCCGGCGAAAUCCGUGGCGGCGACGGCUGGAUCGAGCAAGAGAGAGAGAUGAUGA